UGGGGAAAUUUGGACAAUGGGCGAAAGCCUGAUCCAGCAAUGCCGCGUUUGUGAAGAAGGCCUUCGGGUUGUAAAGCACUUUUGUCCGGAAAGAAAUGGCUCUGGUUAAUACCUGGGGUCGAUGACGGUACCGGAAGAAUAAGGACCGGCUAACUACGUGCCAGCAGCCGCGGUAAUUCGUAGGGUCCAAACGUUAAUCGGAAUUACUGGGCGUAAAGCGUGCGCAGGCGGUUGUGCAAGAACGAUGUGAAAUCCCCGAGCUUAACUUGGGAAUUGCAUUGGUGACUGCACGGCUAGGGGGGGUAAGGGGGGGGUAGAAUUCCACGUGUAGCAUGGAAAUGCGUAGAGAUGUGGGGGAAUACCGAUGGCGAAGGCAGCCCCCUGGGAUAACACUGACGCUCAUGCACGAAAGCGUGGGGAGCAAACAGG
rnacentral:rRNA from 1 species